GCCUUUGUAGUUCAAUGGAUAGAACGGAAGUUUCCUAAACUUUAAAUCAGGGUUCGAUUCCCUGCGAAGGUA
rnacentral:tRNA from 1 species